rnacentral:rRNA from 1 species
UACAGAGGGGGCAAGCGUUGUUCGGAAUUACUGGGCGUAAAGGGCGCGUAGGCGGCCGCCUAAGUCAGACGUGAAAUCCCUCGGCUCAACCGGGGAACUGCGUCUGAUACUGGGUGGCUUGAAUCCGGGAGAGGGAUGCGGAAUUCCAGGUGUAGCGGUGAAAUGCGUAGAUAUCUGGAGGAACACCGGUGGCGAAGGCGGUUCUCUGGGCCUUACCUGACGCUGAGGUGCGAAAGCGUGGGGAGCAAACAGG